GGCCCAGUGGUGUAGUGGUAAACACGCCCACUUAUUGUAUGGGUCUUUAGCAAUUCGUUUGUGGGAGAUUCUUGUUCGACUCAGGGAUGGGUCA